CUUCACCAUCUCCUAGGAGUUUGCUCAAAUUCAUGUCCAUUGAGUCAGUGAUGCCAUCAAACCAUCUCAUCCUCUGACCUGCUCCCCCUUCCCCUCUUGCCUUCAAUCUUUCCCAGCAUCAAGGUCCUUUCCAGUGAGCCAGCUUUCUGUGUCAGGUGGCCAAAGUAUUGGAAUUUUAAGUAUAGCAACAGUCCUAACAAUGAAUGUUCAGGAUUGACUGCCUUUGAGAUUGACUGGUUUGAUCUUCUUGUAGUCUAAGUCAGGAGUCUUCUCAAGCAUCACAAUUUCAAAGCAUCAGUUCUUCAGUGCUCAGCCUUCUUUAUGCUUUUUUGGACCAGGGAGGAAUUGGCAGAAGUCAUCCUUCUCCUGGACACUGGGCUGCAGACAUCAGAGGCAAGGACUGGAAUGUGACUCUUGGCCCACAGCUGAAGAAGGCUCAUGCUGAGCACAGACACAUCUGACUGGCUCCCCAUCCCUGCUGGAAGCUGCCUCUUCUGAGACCCUUGACUUUUAUGACCUCAAAAGUAAGUGCUAAUAUUGUGCAAAAUUAAUAGUGUAAAAGUAAAAGCGAAAAUAGGAUAUAUGAUGAACAGGUUCAUUUUAAACCAUGGAUUCC
rnacentral:lncRNA from 1 species